rnacentral:tRNA from 1 species
ACGAAAGAUUGACGAUUGGUAAGAAUCCACAACAAGUUGUUCUUCAUAGAUGUAUCUGAGGGUCUGUAGCUCAGUUGGUUAGAGCACACGCUUGAUAAGCGUGGGGUCACAAGUUCAAGUCUUGUCAGACCCACCAUGACUUUGACUGGUUGAAGUUAUAGAUAAAAGAUACAUGACUGAUGAUGUAAGCUGGGGACUUAGCUUAGUUGGUAGAGCGCCUGCUUUGCACGCAGGAGGUCAGGAGUUCGACUCUCCUAGUCUCCACCAGAACUUAAGAGAAGUUCGGAUUACAGAAAUUAGUAAAUAGAGAUUUAGAUCUUGGUUUAUUAACUUCUGUGAUUUAAGUAUCACGGUAUUAAGCAUGACCUGACGAAGGCGUGUUUAUUCAUUAACAGAUUGGCAAAAUUGAGUCUGAAAUAAAUUGUUCACUCAAGAGUUUGGAUUAAGCAAUUAAUCUAGAUGAAUUGAGAACUAGCAAAUUAACUGAAUCAAGCGUUUUGGUAUAUGAAUUUAGAUUGAAGCUGUACAGUGUUUAAGUACACAGACAACAGAUAGUAGCGAUGAAGAAUCGCACGGACAACACUCACUUGUAGGUGUUGACGACUGUUUGGGGUUGUAU